GAACGGGACUCGUAAGACCUGGAUUGGGCUGCUCCGAUGUAAGUCGGUGAUACUCCGGUAGCCAAGGAUCUUCCUUGGCGAGCACGGUGAGAAUCGGCCCCCAGGGUGAGCCCGUUU
rnacentral:sRNA from 12 species